GACGAACGCUGGCGGCGUGCUUAACACAUGCAAGUCGAACGGAAAGGCCCUGCUUUUGUGGGGUGCUCGAGUGGCGAACGGGUGAGUAACACGUGAGUAACCUGCCCUUGACUUUGGGAUAACUUCAGGAAACUGGGGCUAAUACCGGAUAGGAGCUCCUGCUGCAUGGUGGGGGUUGGAAAGUUUCGGUGGCUGGGGAUGGACUCGCGGCUUAUCAGCUUGUUGGUGGGGUAGUGGCUUACCAAGGCUUUGACGGGUAGCCGGCCUGAGAGGGUGACCGGCCACAGUGGGACUGGGGAGCGGGCCGGACUCCUACGUGAGGAAGCAGUGGGAGAUAUACCGAGAUGGGCGGAAGCCUGAUGCAGCAACGCCGCGUGCGGGAUGACGGCCGUCGGGGUAGAAACCGUGUGCGCCUGGGACGAAGCGUGAGUGACGGUAAUGUGUAAAGAAGCACCGGCUAACUACGUG
rnacentral:rRNA from 1 species